rnacentral:rRNA from 1 species
UACGGAGGAUGCAAGCGUUAUCCGGAAUGAUUGGGCGUAAAGCGUCCGCAGGUGGCAAUGUAAGUCUGCUGUUAAAGAGUCUAGCUCAACUAGAUAAGAGCAGUGGAAACUACAUAGCUAGAGUACGUUCGGGGCAGAGGGAAUUCCUGGUGUAGCGGUGAAAUGCGUAGAGAUCAGGAAGAACACCAGUGGCGAAGGCGCUCUGCUAGGCCGUAACUGACAUUCAGGGACGAAAGCUAGGGGAGCGAAUGGG